rnacentral:rRNA from 1 species
GACGAACGCUGGCGGCGUGCUUAACACAUGCAAGUCGAACGAUGAAGCCUAGCUUUCUAGGUUGUUUAGUGGCGAACGGGUGAGUAAUUCGUGAGUGACCUACCUUUGUCUCUGGGUUAAGCCUGUUAAACUGGGUCUAAUACCGGCUACGACCAAUCUCCGCCUGGGUUGUUGGUGGAAAGCGUUAUGGAGUGGUUUUAGAUGGGCUCACGUCCUAUCAGCUUGUUGUUGAGGUAAUGGCUUACCAAGGCGACGACGGGUAGCCGGACUGAGAGGGUGACAGGCGACACUGGGACUGAGAGAAGGCCCAGACUCCUAAGGGAGGCAGAAGUGGGGAAUAUUGAAGAAUGGGCGCAAGCCUGAUGCAGAGACGCCGCGUGAGGGAUGACGGCCUUAGGGUUGUAAACCAAUGUUAGCAGCGAAGAAGCGAAAGUGAAGGUAGGUGCAGAGAAAGCGCAGGCUAAAUAAGUG